rnacentral:rRNA from 1 species
GAUGAACGCUAGCGGCAGGCUUAAUACAUGCAAGUCGAGGGGCAGCAGUCCCGCAGCAAUGCGGGAGCUGGCGACCGGCAAACGGGUGCGGAACACGUACAGAACCUUCCUUCGAGCGGGGAAUAGCCCAGAGAAAUUUGGAUUAAUACCUCAUAGCAUUACGAAGUGGCAUCACUUUGUAAUUAAAGAUUUAUCACUCGAAGAUGGCUGUGCGGCUGAUUAGGUAGUUGGCGGAGUAACGGCCCACCAAGCCUUCGAUCAGUAACUGGUGUGAGAGCACGACCAGUCACACGGGCACUGAGACACGGGCCCGACUCCUACGGGAGGCAGCAGUAAGGAAUAUUGGUCAAUGGACGAAAGUCUGAACCAGCCAUGCCGCGUGGAGGAUGAAGGUCCUCUGGAUUGUAAACUUCUUUUAUAUGGGACGAAAAAGGCUUUUCUAAGUCGUCUGACGGUACCAUAUGAAUAAGCACCGGCUAACUCCGUGCCAGC